rnacentral:rRNA from 1 species
GUAGUCAUAUGCUUGUCUCAAAGAUUAAGCCAUGCAUGUCUAAGUAUAAGCAAUUUAUACAGUGAAACUGCGAAUGGCUCAUUAAAUCAGUUAUCGUUUAUUUGAUAGUACCUUUACUACUUGGAUAACCGUGGUAAUUCUAGAGCUAAUACAUGCUAAAAAUCCCGACUGUUUGGAAGGGAUGUAUUUAUUAGAUAAAAAACCAACGCUUUUCGGAGCUCUUUGAUGAUUCAUAAUAACUUUUCGAAUCGCAUGGCCUUGCGCCGGCGAUGGUUCAUUCAAAUUUCUGCCCUAUCAACUUUCGAUGGUAGGAUAGUGGCCUACCAUGGUUUCAACGGGUAACGGGGAAU